UACGUAGGGAGCAAGCGUUGUCCGGAUUUAUUGGGCGUAAAGAGCUCGUAGGCGGUUAAGUAAGUCAGACGUGAAAUCCCCAGGCUCAACCUGGGAACUGCGUCUGAUACUGGAUGGCUUGAAUUCGGGAGAGGGAUGCAGAAUUCCAGGUGUAGCGGUGAAAUGCGUAGAUAUCGUGAGGAACACCAGAGGCGAAGGCGGCUACCUGGACAAUUGCUGACGCUCAGGCACGAAAGCGUGGGGAGCAAAAGGG
rnacentral:rRNA from 1 species